rnacentral:rRNA from 1 species
AACGAACGCUGGCGGCAGGCUUAACACAUGCAAGUCGAACGAGAUCUUCGGAUCUAGUGGCAGACGGGUGAGGAACACGUGGGAACAUCCCUUUCAGUUCGGAAUAACGUUGGGAAACUAACGCUAAUACCGGAUACGUCCUUCGGGAGAAAGAUUUAUCGCUGAAAGAUUGGCCCGCGUCUGAUUAGCUAGUUGGUGAGGUAAUGGCUCACCAAGGCUACGAUCAGUAGCUGAUCUGAGAGGAUGAUCAGCCACAUUGGGACUGAGACACGGCCCAAACUCCUACGGGAGGCAGCAGUGGGGAAUAUUGGACUAUGGGCGCAAGCCUGAUCCAGCCAUGCCGCGUGAGUGAUGACGGCCUUCGGGCUGUAAAGCUCUUUUGUCCGGGAAGAUAAUGACUGUACCGGAAGAAUAAGCCCCGGCAAACUUCGUGCCAGCCGCCGCGGUAAGAC